rnacentral:tRNA from 1 species
GCGUCAGUGGUGUAGCGGUAACAUUGGAGCUUCCCAACCCGCUUGGAUCGCCGCAAGGCGAUAAAGCUGCUCUAGCCUCGGGUUCGACUCCCGGCUGACGCA